rnacentral:lncRNA from 1 species
UGGGCGUUAAUACUGCAGGCGAGGGCCAUUCGCUGUAGGAGCUCGGUCAGAGGCCUUCCGUAGAUGAAGUUCGGUUUCAUGUAGAAUUCGGCAGAGGGUCGACUAGCAGUGGGUGUCGGAUGGUGCUGGAGAGGUUCAUCCACUGGAGGGGUCCAGCUGCUGGAGUCCAUGUAUUGUAGGAGUUCAUCUGGAAUCUGUCUGCUACAGAAGUUUGGUUGGAGUCCGAUCUCCGUAGAAGCCCGGAUGGAGAUCAUUUGUCGAGGAAGCUCAGUCGAAGCUUGCAGUAAAAGCUCGGAGUAGAUCGCUUGCAGUAGAAGCUCAGAGUAGAUCGCUUGCAGUAGAAGCUUGGAGUCCGGCCCUUGUAGGAGUUCGGAUGAGGUCUACCUGCAACAGGA